rnacentral:rRNA from 1 species
UACGGAGGUUGCGAGCGUUGUUCGGAAUUACUGGGCGUAAAGCGCGUGUAGGCGGCCUUUUAAGUCUGGUGUGAAAGCCCGGGGCUCACCCCCGGAAGUGCACUGGAUACUGAGAGGCUCGAGUACCGGAGAGGAGGGUGGAAUUCCUGGUGUAGCGGUGAAAUGCGUAGAUAUCAGGAGGAACACAGGUGGCGAAGGCGGCCCUCUGGACGGAUACUGACGCUGAGACGCGACAGCGUGGGGAGCAAACAGG